rnacentral:rRNA from 1 species
GACGAACGCUGGCGGCGUGCUUAACACAUGCAAGUCGAACGGAAAGGCCCUGCUUUUGUGGGGUGCUCGAGUGGCGAACGGGUGAGUAACACGUGAGUAACCUGCCCUUGACUUUGGGAUAACUUCAGGAAACUGGGGCUAAUACCGGAUAGGAGCUCCUGCUGCAUGGUGGGGGUUGGAAAGUUUCGGCGGUUGGGGAUGGACUCGCGGCUUAUCAGCUUGUUGGUGGGGUAGUGGCUUACCAAGGCUUUGACGGGUAGCCGGCCUGAGAGGGUGACCGGCCACAUUGGGACUGAGAUACGGCCCAGACUCCUACGGGAGGCAGCAGUGGGGAAUAUUGCACAAUGGGUGGAAGCCUGAUGCAGCAACGCCGUGUGCGGGAUGACGGCCUUCGGGUUGUAAACCGCUUUCGCUCAUGACGAAGCUUUGUGUGACGGUAGUGGGUAAAGAAGCACCGGCCAACUACGUG